AGCCGCUAUACGCUUGGGUAUAGCGAAGGGCCACUUGGGGCCGACAGU
rnacentral:ncRNA from 1 species